UUUCUGCAGCCCCUGGCUUCCUGCCAGCUGCACGAUAGCUGCUGCGGAGACAGACUAGCCCAGACGGUCCUAAUACAUCAUAAUAUUAGUACUGCUAUUUUUGUCUGUACAGCUUUUGAGAUAGCAUCAUCAAAACUGGACACGGUGCUCAGUUGGGCACUUCCAGCACUGCAGGGUAUCAGAGAACACCUACGAGAAACCAGAAUGUGAGCUGGACAAAAGCAGUAGGAGCCCUGAGGCCCAUCUCCUGCACACUGUGGCAGUGAAGGGAAUUACCACAAAGUCAGCGUUGGAAGUGUCUGGCCUUCCAAGGACAGAAUGCGAGCACGGCUGCAUGCACAUGGAGCUGCUUCCCACUGGCUGGGCAUUGGUCCUGGGGGCUCUCAGCAAAAACUUUGCUGCCUCUGUUGGAAACUUCUGGACUGCACACAGCCAGUGCUGGGGCCUGAGGGGUGUGGGGUGGUUUGCUGCACACAUUGUGUUCAAGAAGCUGGAGGAAGAGUCCCAUGUGGGCAGAGAGCUGGGGAUGUUUGGAUAGAGGACGAGCAGCAGGGCAAUAAAUGGCCAUGCUCAGAUAAUGGGAGCUUUCACAUGGGAAAGAAAAAACAGCAAGAGUCCCCAUUAUUUACCAAUCUACACAGGAUGCUCCUGUCUCAACGAGAAGUUUAGUCAUCGCAUUGUGAUUAAGAGCUCCUCUCCUUAAUCAGGCACAGAAAUAGUGGGAAGAUGGAGCUGCAGGGAGAAACUGCAAGUAUCCAGCAGGAUGGGCUGCUAAUACUGAGUAAACAGGUGGUUGAUAUUUAAGCUGCCCUCUCUGCUUUCUGCUAGCUAGAAAAAUGCCAUAUACCUAUGAUCAACAGUGCUGGUACCUCUUUCCUCUCCUCUGUACCAACACCAUCCAACAGGAAGAAAAAAAGACCAACAUUAAUCAUUGCAUGAUGAGUUCCAAAGCCAAGAAGCUCGACUGGCCUUUUUAUCACAGAUAUGAUAAUGCGAGUUACAUAGAUUGGAGAAGGGGGCUCAUGUCCAUGUGGAGAUCUGAUUUCCCCCCUCUGUCAUCUGUAGUGUCAACACUUGGCAGUUGUACAGCAGGACCUUGGAUGCUGCACCUGCUCUGCAACUGCACGUUUUAGAAGCACGGAGAAGACCUGAAUCCAAGCUUUCAAGUGCUCUUCAAGCCGGACAGGUCCUCAGUCCACCCCUGAAGAUCCUUCCCAUGACCUCAGUGCUCACAGGCCUGCUGGCAAUGCAACGUGUCUAUUUUAGUUAAUUCAUGCCAUCAAUUCUGUAUGAGGAGAUAUUUUAUUUUAAAUGUGUUAUGAAGAUACGGAGGCAUUUGCAUUGUUAAUUUCUCAGAUGCCAAACAAACACCAUUAUUGCAAAAUGAAUGCAGCUAUCCAGCUGAGAAACAGAUCCAUUCAAUGCGAAUAAGCGAAACUUAAAAAAUGAAUGAGAUCUACUGAUUGCAAGUAUCACCAGAAAUUAAUAAUACUCCAGGAAUUUGUCAUGCAAAUGAUAAGGAAAGAGCUAUAACUGUUUGUUUCCAGUUGUCGAUCUUCAUCCCUCCAUGAGGUGCAGGAGAUCACACCGCUGUCUCUUAGCAUCCUUUUCCCAAGCCCACUUUCUUCUUCCCUCUGCUACUCGGUGGCCAUGGUGUUCUGUACGUCUCUGUAAUAACAGCUUCAGCUCUUGGAAAAUUAGGUGAGAUGAACUUGUUAUGUGACAAAUUAAACACAAACAGCUCC
rnacentral:lncRNA from 7 species